rnacentral:rRNA from 1 species
UUGAACGCUGGCGGCAGGCCUAACACAUGCAAGUCGAACGGUAACAGGAAACAGCUUGCUGUUUCGCUGACGAGUGGCGGACGGGUGAGUAAUGUCUGGGAAACUGCCUGAUGGAGGGGGAUAACUACUGGAAACGGUAGCUAAUACCGCAUAACGUCGCAAGACCAAAGAGGGGGACCUUCGGGCCUCUUGCCAUCGGAUGUGCCCAGAUGGGAUUAGCUAGUAGGUGGGGUAACGGCUCACCUAGGCGACGAUCCCUAGCUGGUCUGAGAGGAUGACCAGCCACACUGGAACUGAGACACGGUCCAGACUCCUACGGGAGGCAGCAGUGGGGAAUAUUGCACAAUGGGCGCAAGCCUGAUGCAGCCAUGCCGCGUGUAUGAAGAAGGCCUUCGGGUUGUAAAGUACUUUCAGCGGGGAGGAAGGGAGUAAAGUUAAUACCUUUACUCAUUGACGUUACCCGCAGAAGAAGCACCGGCUAACUCCGUG